UGAGGUGUAGCUCAGUGGUAGAGCAUCGUUCUGAUAAGACGAAAGUCCUAGGUUCAAAUCCUAGUACCUCAACAA
rnacentral:tRNA from 1 species